rnacentral:rRNA from 1 species
CAGGCCCUACGGGGCGCAGCAGGCGCGAAAACUUUACAAUGCGGGAAACCGUGAUAAGGGGACACCGAGUGCCAGCAUCAUAUGCUGGCUGUCCAGAUGUGUAAAAUACAUCUGUUAGCAAGGGCCGGGCAAGACCGGUGCCAGCCGCCGCGGUAACACCGGCGGCCCGAGUGGUGAUCGUGAUUAUUGGGUCUAAAGGGUCCGUAGCCGGUUUGGUCAGUCCUCCGGGAAAUCUGAUGGCUCAACCAUUAGGCUUUCGGGGGAUACUGCCAGGCUUGGAACCGGGAGAGGUAAGAGGUACUACAGGGGUAGGAGUGAAAUCUUGUAAUCCCUGUGAGACCACCUGUGGCGAAGGCGUCUUACCAGAACGGGUUCGACGGUGAGGGACGAAAGCUGGGGGCACGAACCGGAUUAGAUACCCGGGUAGUCCCAGCCGUAAACGAUGCUCGCUAGGUGUCAGGCAUGGCGCGACCGUGUCUGGUGCCGCAGGGAAGCCGUGAAGCGAGCCACCUGGGAAGUACGGCCGCAAGGCUGAAACUUAAAGGAAUUGGCGGGGGAGCACAACAACGGGUGGAGCCUGCGGUUUAAUUGGACUCAACGCCGGACAACUCACCGGGGACGACAGCAAUA